AGCGACAUGGGUUUCCCGGCGAACGGCGGUUCCGCCUCCGACAAGCCGCUGAAGUUCCUGAUCUACGGCCGCACCGGCUGGAUCGGGGGCCUCCUGGGCCGCCUCUGCGAGUCCCAGUCCAUCGGCUACGCCUACGGCUCCGGCCGCCUCCAGGACCGCGCCUCCCUCGAGGCCGACGUCGCCGCUGUCGAGCCGACCCACGUCUUCAACGCCGCAGGCGUCACCGGCCGCCCCAACGUCGACUGGUGCGAGUCCCACAAGGUCGAGACCAUCCGGACCAACGUCGCCGGCACCCUCACCCUCGCCGACGUGUGCCGCGAGAGGGGCCUCAUCGUCAUCAACUACGCUACCGGCUGCAUUUUCGAGUACGACGCCGC
rnacentral:lncRNA from 1 species